AGAUAGCUGGUUCUCCCCGAAAGCUAUUUAGGUAGCGCCUCGUGAAUUCAUCUCCGGGGGUAGAGCACUGUUUCGGCUAGGGGGCCAUCCCGGCUUACCAACCCGAUGCAAACUGCGAAUACCGGAGAAUGUUAUCACGGGAGACACACGGCGGGUGCUAACGUCCGUCGUGAAGAGGGAAACAACCCAGACCGCCAGCUAAGGUCCCAAAGUCAUGGUUAAGUGGGAAACGAUGUGGGAAGGCCCAGACAGCCAGGAUGUUGGCUUAGAAGCAGCCAUCAUUUAAAGAAAGCGUAAUAGCUCACUGGUCGAGUCGGCCUGCGCGGAAGAUGUAACGGGGCUAAACCAU
rnacentral:rRNA from 2 species